GACGAACGCUGGCGGCGUGCUUAACACAUGCAAGUCGAACGAAGUGGCGAACGGGUGAGUAACGCGUAAUCAACCUGCCCUUCAGAGGGGGACCACAGUUGGAAACGACUGCUCAUACCGCAUACUGAAGGAGGGGAUUGCGUCUGAUUAGGUAGUUGGGGGGGUAACGGCCCACCAAGGGGAUGAUCAGUAGCCUGGCUGGGAGGGUGAACGGCCACAUUGGGACUGGGAAACGGGCCAGACUCCUUCGGGGAGCAGCAGUGGGGGAUCUUCCGAAAUGGACGAAAGUCUGACGGAGCAACGCCGCGUGAGUGAUGACGGCCUUCGGGUUGUAAAGCUCUGUUAAUCGGGACGCGGUACCGGAAUAGAAAGCCACGGCUAACUACGUGCCAGCAGCCGCGGUAAUUC
rnacentral:rRNA from 1 species